CGGACGGGUGAGUAAUGUCUGGGAAACUGCCUGAUGGAGGGGGAGUAACUACUGGAAACGGUAGCUAAUACCGCAUAACGUCGCAAGACCAAAGAGGGGGACCUUCGGGCCUCUUGCCAUCAGAUGUGCCCAGAUGGGAUUAGCUAGUAGGUGGGGUAACGGCUCACCUAGGCGACAAUCCCUAGCUGGUCUGAGAGGAUGACCAGCCACACUGGAACUGAGACACGGUCCAGACUCCUACGGGAGGCAGCAUG
rnacentral:rRNA from 1 species